rnacentral:tRNA from 1 species
UCUUUGGUAGUAUAGUGGUUAGUAUACUCGCUUGUCAACCAACUCGCGAGUGACCGGGGUUCAAUUCCCCGCCAGAGAG